AUUGAACGCUGGCGGCAGGCCUAACACAUGCAAGUCGAGCGAGUGGCGGACGGGUGAGUAAUGUCUGGGAAACUGCCUGAUGGAGGGGGAUAACUACUGGAAACGGUAGCUAAUACCGCAUACCAUCAGAUGUGCCCAGAUGGGAUUAGCUAGUAGGUGGGGUAAUGGCUCACCUAGGCGACGAUGCCUAGCUUGUCUGAGAGGAUGACCAGCCACACUGUGACUGAGGCACGUUCCAGACUCUUACGGGAUGCAGCAGUGGGGAAUAUUGGACAAUAGGCGCAAGCCUAAUACAGCCAUGCCGCGUGUGUGAAGAGUGCCUUCGGGUUGUAAAGUACUUUCAGCGAGUAGGCGUUACCCGCAGAAGAAGCACCGGCUAACUCCGUGCAAGGAGCCGCGGUAAUUG
rnacentral:rRNA from 1 species